rnacentral:rRNA from 1 species
UGGGGAAUUUUGCACAAUGGGGGAAACCCUGAUGCAGCGACGCCGCGUGAUUUAGAAGGCCUUCGGGUUGUAAAAAUCUUUUGUAUGGGAAGAAAAUGACAGUACCAUACGAAUAAGGACCGGCUAAUUACGUGCCAGCACCCGCGGUAAUACGUAAGGUCCGAGCGUUGUCCGGAAUCAUUGGGCGUAAAGGGUACGUAGGCGGAUAAGCAAGUUAGAAGUGAAAUCCUAUAGCUCAACUAUAGUAAGCUUUUAAAACUGCUCAUCUUGAGGUAUGGAAGGGAAAGUGGAAUUCCUAGUGUAGCGGUGAAAUGCGCAGAUAUUAGGAGGAAUACCGGUGGCGAAGGCGACUUUCUGGCCAUAAACUGACGCUGAGGUACGAAAGCGUGGGUAGCAAACAGG